AAUGGGCGCAAGCCUGAUCCAGCAAUGCCGCGUGGGUGAAGACGGCCUGCGGGUUGUAAAGCCCUUUUAGUGGGAAAGAAACCCCUUCUGUGAAUAAUGGGAGGGACUGACGUUACCCACAGAAAAAGCACCGGCUAACUCCGUGCCAGCAGCCGCGGUAAUACGGAGGGUGCAAGCGUUAAUCGGAAUGACUGGGCGUAAAGCGCACGUAGGUGGUGCAGUCAGUCCGCUGUGAAAGCCCCGGGCUCAACCUGGGAAUGGCAGUGGAGACGGCUGGACUGGAGUGUGAGAGAGGAGAGUGGAAUUCCCGGUGUAGCGGUGAAAUGCGUAGAGAUCGGGAGGAACACCAAUGGCGAAGGCAGCUCUCUGGAUCAACACUGACACUGAGGUGCGAAAGCGUGGGGAGCAAA
rnacentral:rRNA from 1 species